rnacentral:lncRNA from 1 species
AGAGAGCAUGGAUACACUUUUUGUAAGUAUAAAAUUAUUGCUUUGAAUAAAAUUCUUAUUAUAACUAUCUAUUUUGUUGACGUAAUUAGCUGAACUAAAAUGUUGUGUCUAGUAAGCAUAAAGCAGAAAAGGUCAGGCAAGAAGGGAUCAAAAACAUUUGUAGGGCGACAAUUGUUGAAAAAUGGAAGAAAUUAACGAAUGAGGAGAAGUGCCGAUUUGGUACAAUGCAUGAGGACCCAAGUUUAAAUGUUAGUGAAAGGAGUAUUGAAAAAACAGAUGAAGAACAAAAAAAUGGGGAUAAGCAUAGCCAAUGUAAUUUAUCUCGUUAUCGUGUCAGUGCAUUCACUAAGGUCAUUUCCACAUUGUCGCCCGACCAACAAGCUGCAAUUAGAGAAAUUGGCUUCGGAAGCAUGCCAAAAUUACGAUGUGGUCGCCUGAGACAAGACUUCUGUGAAACACUUGUCCAACAAAGUGAUACAAAGAGGCAUUAUAUAGUUUUGCACAGUAGAGAGUUUUGUUUAAACCCUAUAACCUUCAGC